UUAUCAGGGAGACAGGUGGUGCAUGGUUGUCGUCAGCUCGUGUCGUGAGAUGUUCGGUUAAGUCCGCUAACGAGCGCAACCCUCGCUGUGUGUUAUAUGUGUCACAUGGGACUGCCGGCCUUAAAGCGGAGGAAGGUGGGGAUGAUGUCAAGUCAGCAUGGCCUUUAUAUCCUGGGCUACACACACGCUACAAUGGCCAACACAAUAGGUUGCUAAGCCGCGAGGUGGCGCCAAUCCAUAAAGUUGGUCUCAGUUCAGAUUGUAGGCUGCAACCCGCCUGCAUGAAGAUGGAGUUGCUAGUAACCGCAGGUCAGCUAUACUGCGGUGAAUACGUUCCCGGGGCUU
rnacentral:rRNA from 1 species